AGUUUGAUCCUGGCUCAGAAUCAACGCUGGCGGCGUGCCUCACUACAUGCAAGUCGAACGGGCUUCGGCCCGUGGCGAACGGGUGAGUAACACGUGGGUACCUACCUUCGAGUGGGGGAUAACGUCCCGAAAGGGGCGCUAAUACCGCAUAACGUCCUGCGAGACCAAAGCUCUGGCGUUUGAAGAGGGGCCCGCGUCCGAUUAGCUAGUUGGUGAGGUAACGGCUCACCAAGGCGACGAUCGGUAGCCGGCCUGAGAGGGCGGACGGCCACACUGGGACUGAGACACGGCCCAGACUCCUACGGGAGGCAGCAGUGGGGAAUYGUUCGCAAUGGGCGCAAGCCUGACGACGCAACACCGCGUGGGGGAUGAAGCCCUUUCCGGGUGUAAACCCCUGUUGUGAGGGACGAAAUUUUUGACGGUACCUCACGAGAAAGCACCGGCUAAUUCUGUGCCAGCAGCCGCGGUAAGACAGAAGGUGCAAGCGUUACUCGGAAUUACUGGGCGUAAAGCGUCUGCAGGUGUCCCAUCAAGUCCGGUGUAAAAGCACGGAGCCCAACUCCGUGUACGUGCUGGAAACUGACGGGAUCGAGAAACUGAAGAGGCAUCUGGAAUGUCGUGUGUAGGRGUAAAAUCCGUAGAUCCACGAUGGAACGCCAAAAGCGAAGGCAGGAUGCUACUAGUUUUCUGACACUCAGAGACGAWAGCGUGGGGAGCAAAGGGGAUUAGAUACCCCCGUAGUCCACGCCCUAAACGAUGCGGGCUCGGUGUGGGAACGUUUCAAUUCGUUCCCGUGCCUUAGCUAACGCGGUAAGCCCGCCGCCUGGGAAGUACGGCCGCAAGGCUAAAACUCAAAGGAAUAGACGGGGACCCACACAAGCGGUGGAGCAUGGGGUUCAAUUCGAUGGUAAACGAAGAACCUCACCCAGGCUUGACAUCUCGGGAAUCUGGCCGAAAGGUCGGAGUGCCGCAAGGAACCCGAAGACAGGCGAUGCACGGUCGUCGUCAGCUCGUGCCUUGAGGUGUACUGUUAAGUCAGCGAACGAGCGCAACCCUCAUCCUAUGUUGUACUUUCUUAGGAGACUGCCGCCUCCAAGGCGGAGGAAGGUGGGGAUGACGUCAGAUCAGCGUGUCCCUUAUGCCUGGGGCUACACCCAUGCUACAAUGGGCGGUACAAUGGGCAGCAAACUCGCAAGAGUAAGCAAAUCCCACCAAAACCGCUCUCAGUUCGGAUUGCCGGCUGCAACUCGCCGGCAUGAAGUUGGAAUCGCUAGUAACCGUGGGUCAGCGAUACCACGGUGAAUAUGUUCCUGGGUCUUGUACUCACCGCCCGUCAAGUCAUGAAAGGUAGGAGCACCCGAAGCACCCUUACCAGCAAUGGGGGGUACCUUCUGAGUGCACUACUGAUUGGGACUAAGUCGUAACAAGGUAGCCG
rnacentral:rRNA from 1 species